UGGGAAGGGGAUAGUUUCUUUUAAAACAACAACUGGAGACUGCAAAACUGGAAGCAACAGCAUCAAACUAGGGAACUCACUCCAAAGAAAGAGAGGAAAGACUGUGGUGCUGAGGAAGCAGCUUGACUACUGGUUUAUGUUCAAUGGAGUUUCCUGUGAGAAUACAUUAUUUGGAUACAGUAGCUAUAUGAAGAGCCAAUGCUGAUUACGAAGACAGCAUUACACCAUUAAAGGAGAUGGAAGAGACAUGGCCUGGAAAAUAUUAAUAGAGUUGUGAUUUGGGCUUGUUAUGACACAGCAAUAUGAAGGGAU